GAGUUUGAUCCUGGCUCAGGACGAACGCUGGCGGCAUGGAUUAGGCAUGCAAGUCGAACGAAAAGCAGGAGCUUGCUCCUGUGGACGAGUGGCGAAAGGGUGAGUAACGCGUGAGUAACCUGCCCUCAAGUUGGGAAUAACUCCUGGAAACGGGAGCUAAUACCGGAUGUGAAUAUUUUCCCGCAUGGGAUUAUAUUUAAAAAUUUAUUGCUUGAGGAUGGGCUCGCGUACCAUUAGUUUGUUGGUGAGGUAACGGCUCACCAAGGCUAUGACGGAUAGGUGGUCUGAGAGGACGGUCACCCACACUGGGACUGAGACACUGCCCAGACUCCUACGGGAGGCUGCAGUCGAGAAUCUUCCGCAAUGCGCGAAAGCGUGACGGAGCAAUGCCGCGUGCAGGAUGAAGGCCCUAGGGUCGUAAACUGCUGUCACCCGGGAUGAAUAAAUGACAGUACCGGGAGAGGAAGCCACGGCUAACUACGUGCCAGCAGCCGCGGUAAUACGUAGGUGGCGAGCGUUAUUCGGAUUUAUUGGGCGUAAAGGGUUCGUAGGGGGUUGGAUAAGUUUGAUGUGAAAUCCCGUGGCUCAACCACGGAACUGCAUUGGAAACUAAUAAACUAGAGUAUCGGAGAGGUAAGUGGAAUUUGUGGUGUAGCGGUGGAAUGCGUAGAUAUCACAAGGAACAUCAAUGGCGAAGGCAGCUUUCUGGACAGUACCUGACCCUGAGGAGCGAAAGCAUGGGGAGCAAACAGGAUUAGAUACCCUGGUAGUCCAUGCCGUAAACGUUGGGCACUAGGUGUGGGACCUUCUAACGGGUUCCGUGCCUUAGCUAACGCAUUAAGUAUACCGCCUGGGGAGUACGGUCGCAAGACUAAAACUCAAAGGAAUUGACGGGGGCCCGCACAAGCGGUGGAGCAUGUGGCUUAAUUCGAGGCAACGCGAAGAACCUUACCUGGGUUUGACAUAUACCUGACCGCAAUCGAAAGGUUGUUUCUCUUCGGAGUAGGUAUACAGGUGCUGCAUGGCUGUCGUCAGCUCGUGCCGUGAGGUGUUCGGUUAAGUCCGGCAACGAGCGCAACCCAUGUCAUUAGUUACUAACAGAUAAUGCUGAGGACUCUAGUGAGACUGCCCGUGUUAAGCGGGAGGAAGGAGUGGACGACGUCAAGUCAGUAUGGCCCUUACACCCAGGGCUGCACACGUGCUACAAUGGCCGGUACAGAAGGCAGCAAUACCGCGAGGUGGAGCUAAUCCCCAAAACCGGUCCCAGUUCGGAUUGAAGUCUGCAACUCGACUUCAUGAAGUUGGAAUCGCUAGUAAAGGCGUAUCAGCUACGACGCCUUGAAUACGUUCCCGGGCCUUGUACACACCGCCCGUCACAUCAUGGGAGCUGAAUGCACCCGAAGUCGCUGUACCAACCCGCAAGGGACGAGGAGACGCCUAAGGUGUGGUCGGUAACUAGGAUGAAGUCGUAACAAGGUAACC
rnacentral:rRNA from 1 species